GUCUCCGUGGCUUAAGCGGGAGAACAUUCUACUAUGGUGCGGGAGAACAUCCGACUAUGGUACGGUAGAACUCGGGUUCGAGCCCCGGUGAAGGCA